UUUUUUUUUCUUUUUUUUGUUUUUCAGCUGCACCCACAGCAUCUGGAAGUUCUCAAGCCAGGGACUGAAUUUGAGCCACAGCUGCAACAAUUCCAGAUCCUUUAAUCCACUGUACUAAGCUGGGGAUUGAACCUGUGCCUCCACAAAGACAAGCUGUAUCAUUAACCCCCUGUGCCAAAUUGGGAAUUCCUUCUUUAGGGAAAUAGGUUUAUAUGUACUUAUAAUUAGUCUAGAUUCUAAAUGAUGUGAAUGGAAAGAAUAUUAUUGUAAUAUGUUAAGAAUCUGCUAUAAUAAUUUUUGGAGGGCAAAAAUACUUACAGAGCGUAGCACCAUCUAAUGUUAUGCUGCUUAGUGAAGCACUAUGUCUUGAUAAUAAAUCAUUGGAAUGAAAAGCAAGAGAUGGACUUUGUUGUGAGAUUUUCUUUUGGUAAUUCCUCACCUAUUCCUACUAGGAAGAGAGCCAAUAUACUAGAGAACGGCAUCUGCUACCUAGGGUUGCUCUUUACUGCCUUAGCUUUAUCAGCAGAAAGAAUACAAAGUAUGAAUUGAGAGCAGUUUUAUCUUCUAUUUAACUGUACCUGAUUAAAAUACACAUAUAAUUAGAAGUUUAUUUCUGUAAAGAGUUAUUAAAAUGGAUAUUUUCAUGCCAUUUAAAACAUAAUAUAUUCUACAGAAGAAUAAUAUUUUUGUGUUGAAUUUUCAUGACAUGAAUUUAUUUAAACUACUAAAUUCUCAAACACUGUGAAGCAUGCUGGGUUAAUUAGCACUAAAGAGCAAAAUAUCAUUAUGCAUUAUUUAAAGUAGAAUCUUCAAACUAUUGUGGUGAGAUUUAUGUACUAGUACGUUUUUGAGAAAUAUAAUUUAAUGCUGCUACAGAGUAUAAGUGAUAUAAGGUAAAUUGAAUCAUAAAAUAAAGCAGCUUUUUUUUCUCCUCAGUCUUUAUGAAAAGUACAAGAGAAAGAAACAAUAAUUUACUUGAAAGUUUUUCUUUUUCUUAAUGAAAAAAGUCAGAAAUAGAAAGACAAAUAUGAUAUGAUAUCACUUAUAUGUGUAAUCUAAAUUAUGGCAUGAAUGAACCGAUCUACAAAACAGAAACAGACUCACAGACAUAGAGAACAGACUUGUGGUUGCAAAGGAGGAGGAGAGAGGGAGUGGGAUGGAUGGGGAAUUUGGCGUUAGUAGAUACAGACUAUUACAUUUAGAAUGGAUAAGCAAUGAGGUCCUCAUAUAUAGCACAGGGAAUUAUAUCCAAACUCUUAAGAUGGAACAUGAUGGAAGAUAACAUGAGAAAAAUAAUGUAUGUAUAUGUAUUACUGCGUCACUUUCCUGUACAGCAGCAAUUGACACAACAUUGUAAAUCAACUAUACUUUAAUAAAAAUACACACUAAAAAUAAAAAAAAUUGCUGCAAAUGGAUAUUCCUAAUGAUUAUCAUACUAAGUGAAGUCAGAAAGAGAAAGACAAAUACCAUAUAAUAUCACAUAAGUGGAAUCUAAAAUAUGUCACAAAUGAACCUAUCUAUAAAACAGAAACAGACCCAUGGACAUAGAGAACAGACUUGUGGCUGCUGGGGUGGGGGGGGAAGGGGGAGAGUAGGAUUGUUGGGAAGUUUGGGGUCAGUAGAUGCAAACUGUUGCAUUUAGAAUAGAUAAGCAAUGAGGUCCUGCUGUAUAGCGAAGGGAACUAUAUCUAAUCCCCUGGGAUAGACCAUGAUAGGAGAAAGUAUGAGGAAAAGAAUGUGAGACUGGGUCACUAUGCUGUGCAGUAAACAGUGACACAAAACGGUAAAUCAAAUAUACUUUAAUAAUAAUAAAAAGGAAUCUCUCUUACCCCAGAUAUUUCCUCUCAGUAAUUUUACAUCCACCGACCCUCACCCUGUCCCUUAAAUUCCUGCUUGUGCUUAUUGGAGUUAGAGUUUAGUUCCUUUUCUUUUCCUUAUUACAAAACCCCACUGCAGUAGAUUCCCUUGAAUGAAAUCUGCCUUGCCAUCUUUAACAAAUACCAUGAAUAUUUUUUCUUUUAAACAAAUCCUCAAAUAUAUUACUUCUUUCUUGAUUUCCUAGAACCAGCAUAUAUUUCUUUAAGGCUGCAGUAUUAUAGAAAACUGUCUCUUAGCACAUCAGAGGGAGCCUCUGAGAGAAUACUACUCCAUCUCCACCACAGUGUAGAAUCUUUGAUACUUGAUAUUGUUUAUGGAAUUUCAUAAAUUUUUACAUCAAACCUUUCCAGACAAAACAUGGCAAAAGUGUAUCCAGUUCAUUUACCUCCUCAUCUGUAUGGGCACAUAAUCUUACACAGUAUGUGAUCAAAAAUAUCAAUUGAAUGAAUUUUUGUAGGAUAUUUGUAAAAAGUAGAAUUUUCCAACGUAUUCUUUUUCUCCAUCUGGGAAGAGAGGUUUCUAUUUCUAAUUCAGCUCAAUUUGAAUAUGGAGUAAUUUAAAUAGGAAUCUCUCUGCUUGAGAUGGAUCAUGGAUUUCCUCCUCAGAGUGGUAUGAAGACACUUGUUUUUUUCCUGCCAAGGAUUUAAUUAGAAUCAUGUUAUAGGGAUUUGGAUGCUUAUCUGAUGACAUUCUCUACUAUCCCAGCAUUCUGCAAAUUGAUUGGGGCAAUACAACAUUAUUCUGAGAAGAAAUCCUCAUUUGGAUUCCCCUGGGCCUCAUUUCUUCCAAACUGAAUACUACCAACACAGUAACCUCAUACAGGUGGUUACUGCUUUGGUUCUGCUGAUGUUUGUGUUGUGAUGCUUAGAAGGAGAGUGGGAGGACAGAGAAAACAUCUAGAGAGUUAAUGACCAAACAUGGAUAGUGGGACAUGCCAUAGAGAGGGCAGGUUUCAGAAGAGCCUGGGUGCACAUAGAUGCACACCUUGCAGUACGAAGACCUUAUCUAGUUUCCACACUUGUCCUCUCACCAAGCUGCACACUCUCAGAAUGAGACCUUGUCUGCUGUUUCUCUCUUUAUCCCUUAACCUUUAUCCCUUCUCUGGUCAUUUUCAUCUGCUGAAGGUAACUGGUACUCUGUGGGCCAACUUCCUUUAAAAUCAACAAAUCUGAUUUGACAAUCAUGUCUUUAGCAGAAAAUACAGAAAAACAAGUCCUAUUUCAAGUUUCUUUAAUAAAAAAUCACUGUCUGCCUACUGUGUGUAAAGCACUUUUACAUAUGGUGUCAAAUUUACUUCUGGGUGGUCAAUCCCCAUUUGAUAUAAAAAUGAAUACUCUCACGUAUUAAAUCAUUAGUAACUUUAGCAAAUAAAUAUUAGUAUUGGGGUUCAAACCUUUGUCUACUUGAGCCAAAGUUUGCACAGGGCAAAAUAGGAAAAAGCAAAUACCAGCAUGUAAUUAUUAGCAGUUGUGGCAUGUUUUAGUUCCUUCAUUAUAUUAUCUCAAAACAACACUAUGAAGUAUACAUUUUCAUUGCUAAUUCCAGAGACAAACCAAAGGAUUAAAGAGAUUGAGUAACUUGUGUGAGGUCACAAAGCCAGGAAGGCAUUCAAUCUACAUCAAACACUAAAUCAGUGUGUUGUGAUGUUAUAGAACAAGAGAUGUAUAGAAUUUUAGGAGAGGUCUGAAUAUUAUGUACAGCUACCUGCAUGUUAAACAAAACAAGACAAAACAAAGCACUGAUAAGGUGUUAAACAAUCUGAACAAAAUCACUAAAAGACUUCAGAAACAAGGCAAUUAAUUGUUCCAGUGUCUUUCUGUUUGGUUAGUUUGGGAAACACUUUAAUCCUGAAUUAUAUUAAAAAGGUAUACCCAAAAAUCUCUGUUUUAGAGAACAUAAGGUUGUUAUCAUUUUACUCAAGGAGAAUCUAGAAGAAGGAUGCUCUUUCUUCUGUGUGAUUUUCUAAACUUACCCCAUAAUUAGCUAUGAAAAUGAGAUUAGAGACUCCUAUCUCUGACAACCAAAUCUUUCCUUAAUAUAAGCUGCAAUCAUUACGGAAAUUUAAGUCUUGUAGAUCCAUCAUUGUUUUAAAUAUAACACAGAAUUAAAACUCUUAGUCUUCAUUUGAAAAAUCACUUAAGCCACUUGACCUAUACUUUGUGAGCAACCAUGUUCAUUGACUGUAUCGUAAGUAGAUAAAAAUAAAAUGUAUAAAGCAAUUAAUUAAACUAUAAUCAGUAAACAAUAAUUCUAACCUUGCAUAUUAACUUUUUAUCCCAGUGUUAAGAACAGGCUUUAAGACACGUUAUUAAUUACAGAUAAAUGUAGUCAAAUAUGUUGCAAUUUUAAUUUGCUAGCUCUGUUUAUUUUCCACAAAUAAAGUAUGAUGGUAAUACCCUGAAAAUGUUUUCUAAUUAAAAAUUUUAAAAAUUUCUUUUGUUCAAUUAGUGUCUUAUGUCACAAAUGCUAAAUUUGAUUUCAAAUGAAUUGAAAGAUUUCAUUUGAUCCUUUAAAAAAGCUAAACAAAAUGUGGAGGGCCAGCUUCACUAUACCCAUUUAAAAUAAUAGAAAUUAGGAAUAAGAGUGCAAAUAAUUGAGCUUAAAUGUUAGUGCAUUUGGGAUUGCAACACAAGCCUCUAUCACUUCAAAACCAUGUGGAAUCAAUGUGAAGAAGAUCAAGAAAAUUCUGAAUUAGAGAGUAUUUUAGAAAUUGCUUAGUCAAUAUAGAGAUUUGUUUCUACGUUGUAUUGGAGAAAGAGAAAAAAGAUCCUUUCAAUGUAUUGAAAUGUGUAUAGAAGAUCUCUUGCAGCUCUUCAGGGUGAAGGUAGAGAAAAUUCAUAAUAAAACUCUUCUGGGAGAUUGCAUAACUGUACCUGUAUAAAUACGUCUUGUUCAUGGAUAGAAAGCAUUACUAUAAGUAGGAGGUAUAGAACAGGAAGCCUGACCUCUCAUUUUUCCCAGGGAAAGUUGGAGAGACUGAAGGAUCAAGUUAGCAAUCUAGCCUCUAGCUGCUUCUGUUUCAAGUUGUCAUCCUAAACCUAGGUGUUCAAUGUGAAAUGCAAUCUCCUCAUCUCUCUUAAGAGGAGAAGGAGUAGGUACUUAUGAAGUAGAGUAAUCAGGAAGUGAAUGCUUUGCUAAUAACAGUACAGGCUUAGGAUGUGUUCUUGAGACUUAUCUCCGAAAGGACCUUCAAUAAAAACUCACUCAGACUGGACAAUCCAUGGAGAAGAAUAACAAUGGAAUAUCAGCUGUUUUAAUCAAUUCAAAUGGUGCCUAUGACAUUAGUGGAAGAUAUUUCUAUUUCUUUAAUCCUAACCCAAAAUUUAAGUUGGAUUUUAUAUGUUUACUUUUUUUUUUUAAUAUGUGUAGACACCAAAACAUGCAUGUGUGGAAACAAGAUAUCUUACCAAUUCUCUCUAUAGACUUUUUCUAAAUUCUUAGGAUAUUUGAAUGUUCAAAAUUUAGGCAUCUUGUAGAUAGUUAAAUGAGUAAAAAAUCUGCUUUACUCUUAGAAUUGAGAGGAAAAUAAUUUAUUUCUCAAUAAUAUUUCCUGUCUAUCGUCAGCACUAGCAUAAUUUUCACCAUUAUUUAUUUGUUUGAAGGUGGCAGAGAUACUGGCAUGUGCAUUAUUAAGAUAGUCUGAAUAUGGUAAUUUCUGUAAUGAGAUUUAUUGUAUACGCCUCCUGAAAUAAAAAGAGGACUGCUCCAUUCUAAAGCAUUUAAAUGGCUGUAGGAUAGUUAGAUUCUAUUAUUUUUAAUGGAACAAAAUUUGUAUUCUGUUCAUUAAGAUGCUGAAUGAGUUGAAGAAACAAGCUCUGUUCUUACAUCAUUCAUUCCGUGAGGCGGUAUACAAAAAAUAUAGUUUUGUGGUGUCAAACACAUGGAUGGAAUUUAAAUGCAUAUAAAUUAAUAGCAAAUGCUCUAUCAAAGAAUGAAGGUGAUUUUUUUUCUGUAGUUUUUGGUAGUUCAUAAUUUCACGGCACACAUCUCAGCUCAACAAAAUUUUAUCAAAUGGAAUGGAGAACAGCAGCUAACAUCUGAGAGAUUUAAAAGGCUUCCUAUUUUUCAUUCACAUCUCUAGUGCCUGGUGCAGUGUAUUGUUUAUGGAAGGAAUGCAAUAAAUGCCUGCUCAAUUAAAGCAAAAGAAUUUAAGAUGCAAUAGGAUUGAGUUACAAUGUGACUGAACAAUUUGUCCAGAAACUGUGAACCAGUGUCAAAAUGAAUGGUUUGUAUUUUCAUUCUCUAAUUUACCAGAAUGAAUCUAGAAUAUAUCUAGGGCAAUUUAGUCUGUUUUAUUUAUUUAUUUUUAAAUAUAUUUGAAAUAAGUGAUGAGAUACAAUAGGCACAAAGGACAAUGACAAUCUUCCAUUUUGUUUCUUUGGUUCGCAAGGUACCAAACACAUUUAUUAUGGUAAUUUACUUUGUCAAUUUCAGCUUCCUGAUCAUUCCUUUUAACUUCUUCCAACUCCGUGUAGGAUCUCACCCCUACAUGUUUAUAAGGCAACUCAUCUAGAUUUUAUUUUAUUCAUCUUUAUAUCUAAGCUUUAGCUAAGGCCAGCUAAACCAAAGUUGAUUUUUAGAAUUUUACUGAUCUUAACACAAAUUAUUCUACAGUGAACAUAAUCUUUCUCUUUUUUUUCUUCUUGGUAUCUUUUUUUUUUUUUUAGCAGGAAAAUGACAUAGAAACUGGACUUCAUCAAACUUGCUUAAUUAUGAGAUAUAGUUCUUGAAACUUCCUGUAUCUUUACCCACAGAAUUUUCUUUUAGAUGUACAGCUAAAUUAGAAUGGGAACUACAAUUUAUUGAAUCUGUUGAAUGCUCCUAUAUCACAGCAGUCACAUACAUAUUUCACAAUGUCUCUGUGAGGUAGAUGUUACUAUCCUAGAAAAUUAAGCUAUGUUAAAUACUUGUCUAGGAUCGCUAGAUUAAAAAAUGUAGAAGUGGAAUUUUCAGAGCUUUACUAUCCAAUUCAUAAGAUCAUAUUCUUCCUACUGUACCAGAUAAUUACUUGAAAUACAGUUUUGAAAUAACACUGAAUAGAAACUUACUC
rnacentral:lncRNA from 1 species